GACGAACGCUGGCGGCGUGCCUAAUACAUGCAAGUAGAACGCACAGUUUAUACCGUAGCUUGCUACACCAUAGACUGUGAGUUGCGAACGGGUGAGUAACGCGUAGGUAACCUGCCUGGUAGCGGGGGAUAACUAUUGGAAACGAUAGCUAAUACCGCAUAAUAUUGAUUAUUGCAUGAUAAUUGAUUGAAAGAUGCUAUUGCAUCACUACCAGAUGGACCUGCGUUGUAUUAGCUAGUAGGUGAGGUAACGGCUCACCUAGGCGACGAUACAUAGCCGACCUGAGAGGGUGAUCGGCCACACUGGGACUGAGACACGGCCCAGACUCCUACGGGAGGCAGCAGUAGGGAAUCUUCGGCAAUGGACGAAAGUCUGACCGAGCAACGCCGCGGGAGUGAAGAAGGGUUUCGGAUCGUAAAGCUCUGUUGUAAGAGAAGAACGGGUGUGAGAGUGGAAAGUUCACACUGUGACGGUAUCUUACCAGAAAGGGACGGCUAACUACGUG
rnacentral:rRNA from 1 species